AUUCAGCAAAGCAGUUCAGUUUAAGCAGAGUAACUCAUUUAUAUGCUGCGUUGAGUGUUCCUGGUAAUGAUUUUGAAAACCCUCUCCCUUUUAUCUCAGGCCUACCUGUGGCUAUACCUUUAGAGAUUACCUUGCACAAUGUAUCAAGGGAUUGUGGGUAAGGAUGGCAAUGAGUGAAGAGUUGGUUCAGUUUUUCUUUUUAGAUUUGAAGAUUCUUGGAGGCUGUGAUGAGGUCACAAAAUUUACGCAUGC
rnacentral:misc_RNA from 1 species